rnacentral:rRNA from 1 species
UGCCAGCAGCCGCGGUAAUACGGAGGAUGCGAGCGUUAUCCGGAUUUAUUGGGUUUAAAGGGUGCGUAGGCGGAUUAAUAAGUCAGUGGUGAAAACCUUCAGCUUAACUGGAGACUUGCCAUUGAUACUGUUAGUCUUGAGUACGGUCAAGGUAGGCGGAAUGUGUAAUGUAGCGGUGAAAUGCUUAGAUAUUACACAGAACACCGAUUGCGAAGGCAGCUUACUGGGCCAUUACUGACGCUGAUGCACGAAAGCGUGGGGAGCGAACAGGAUUAGAUA